CUGCUUUCUGUCUCCUUCUCUAUCCUUCAGAUACUAUCUCUGGGACUAAAACCUGAGGGAGCCUGUGGGGAAGAGCAGGCCAGCACUGCCCCGUGCCUUUCAGUCCUUGCCCGCCGGGAACAGCCCAGCCCCAGGGGCAGAACCGAGUGCGCAACCGUGGGCUGGAGAAAACGCGAGGUGGGGCGAGGUACAACCGGAGCCUGCUGAGACCAGCCGCGCAGUAGCCUGGCGCCUGGUUCUGGCAGGCCUCUCCAGCAUUCCCCAGUCCCAGGCAGCAAGGAAAAAAGGCUCCGCAUGGGUCCCUGUCUGGGCAAUAGCUUGGGAAGUGGCCCAGGCGUGCAAGUGGUUCUGGAGGGGUCAACAUGGCAACAGGGGAACUCACGGAGGCCCAGCAGCCGCAGCAAAUGCGGCUUUUAAACCGACACAGCAAGCGGCUUUUUUCCUCUGCCAGUUUGGCUGAGGGAAAGGGAGUGGCUGUUGGUCGUCAGCCCCGCCCAGCUUUUAGAGAUGGAGCUCUCAUUAUGUUGCCCAGGCGAGUCUCAAACUCCUAAGCUCAAGCAGUCCUUCCACCUCGGCUUCUCCAGGAGGCAGAACCCUUGGCAUGGUCAGUGACUUGUGAUUUCAUUGUCAACGCAACGAUGAUGAGGUACCAUGUUCAAGUGUUUUUGAGAGCAGGACAGAAUAAAGAACAUCAGGAGACAAACCUGAGAUCACUUACAGCCCAGGAGAAUUAAAGCUGGAAUGGGGCCAGGAAACCCUUUAUUUUGCAAUUGGAGGCAUUGACAAUUUUAAAUGAUGUGUUAUUAAUCAUAGUAGGAUAUUACAAUAAAUUAUAUGUGU